AUCUAGGGUUUCAAGUUUCACUUUCAAUUUUUGUUUCUCCGGUGAAUCUCGCCGUCGCCGUCGCCGUCAUCGCCGCCGCCGCCACUGAUAAACCGGUCGUCACGCCCUCUGCUCUCGCCGUUUCAGGUAUUCCUUCUCUCUUACUCGUUUUCUCCCCCCUGCCAUCUAAGCUUCCUCUCCCGAUCUCUCUCCGCCGCCUGCUCUCGUUCGCGGCGCCGCCGCGAAUCGCCGCUGCAUAUGCAGCAAUGGCAGUCGCCGCUACCGCUGGCGAAAGCUAUGGCGGACAACGUGCUCCAGAGCUGGGAUCCGAACCUUGUGAGUCUCUGCACCUGGACACCUGAACCAUGUGCUACCAAGCCUUGCUCUCUCUCCCUGUUGUCGACAUCUGCCGCGAAUCGUCGUGGCUCGAGCAGCACCAGCAAUCGCCGCCGCCAGUUGCACCUCCGUCCCGGUGGUUCUCGGCUAUUACUCCCCCAUUUUCUUCUUCUAUUUUGUUCAUUUUCUUUACUUAUUCUAUUUUCAAUCCUAAUUCUAAUUCUUCCCGCACUAUUUCCCUGUUUCAGGAAUUGACCGAUCGUCGAUUCGAGGGUGAGAAGACAUAUCAGGUAUGUCAAAUUUGAAAUUUGUUGAAUGUGCGAGUGCUAGAGUUGUAUCUCUUAUCUUCAAUGAACAUUGGGAGGUUCUUUGUGGAGUAAGCACCUCUCUUUUGAGUUUUCUACUUGAUAAUUUUGGUGUUAUUAUGGAUAUAAUUUGAUUAGUUUGUAUUUUAUUUCAAUCUGAAAAGUUACAAGAUUAUAUGGGUGUUAUGUUUAUGGAGAUCAGUUACAUUGUCUUAGCUCGUAAGAACAAGUUGAGCUGCAAAAUUCUUUAUCUAUAAGAGCAUUUACUUUAGGUGAUUUAUGUAAUCGACCCUGGUUAGAAGCAUUACGUGUGCGUGGUUGAUCUUCUUGGUCAUACUCUUUCAAUAGGUGAAGCUAAAUCCUUCACUUGCAGUUGCUUGGUUAAGCUUAGGUAACUGCAUAUGGAUAAAAGGUGAUCUAGUUUCAGCAAAGAAUCGUUUUAACUAUGCCAUUAUAAGGAUCUUUCUUCUGCUUCAUUCCCUUUCAAGUGUUUGAUGAGUAGAUAUCAGUAGCAUAAUUAUCGAUUUUUGUCAAUCUUUAUAGCUGCUGGUGUCUCGGUUUCCCCCCCGAGACAGCCUCUGCUAAUAGAGAACAUCGUUGCUUCUUCUGGUCAUGCUAAUCCAAAUUUUUUGCGAGAACUCGAUGGCUGGCAAGAAUCAUCGGAAGCUGUUGAAGUUGAUGGUGAGAAUUCAGUGCUGGAAGAAAUUGAAUCUUCCUCUUAUAACGUCUCUAAUGGUAAUAGAAGCCAACAUGUAAAUGAUGAUGACUCUUAUAUCCCUACGAAAGUUUGGAGCAUUUGCUACCUGGAACUCUUAUUGCUUCGCCUACAAAACCAGCUAUGGAGCAUCAAUUUGCAUUCUUGUGGCUUCAUCAGAAGACGACAGUCCUCUAUUUCGUACAUCCUCUAUCUAUGCACUCAAAUGAUAAGAUUUCAUUCCAUGUUUUUGCAGGAUGGAAGUUUGGAUGGAUGGAUGGAUUACUUUUGACUAAAAGCUGCUUCAGAGUACCAUUUUUGGUUGAAGAUUGUAAAUGACGGUUAAAUAUUUAUAUAAAAUAUAUUUUGGAUUGUACUA